rnacentral:rRNA from 1 species
UGGGGAAUAUUGCACAAUGGGCGCAAGCCUGAUGCAGCCAUGCCGCGUGUGUGAAGAAGGCCUUCGGGUUGUAAAGCACUUUCAGCGAGGAGGAAGGUGGUGAGCUUAAUACGCUCAUCAAUUGACGUUACUCGCAGAAGAAGCACCGGCUAACUCCGUGCCAGCAGCCGCGGUAAUACGGAGGGUGCAAGCGUUAAUCGGAAUUACUGGGCGUAAAGCGCACGCAGGCGGUUUGUUAAGUCAGAUGUGAAAUCCCCGGGCUCAACCUGGGAACUGCAUUUGAAACUGGCAAGCUAGAGUCUCGUAGAGGGGGUAGAAUUCCAGGUGUAGCGGUGAAAUGCGUAGAGAUCUGGAGGAAUACCGGUGGCGAAGGCGGCCCCCUGGANGAAGACUGACGCUCAGGUGCGAAAGCGUGGGGAGCAAGCAGAUUAGAUACCCUGGUAGUCACGCCCUAAACGUGUCAACUAGCUGUUGGGGUCUUCGGACCUUGG